AACGAACGCUGGCGGCAGGCUUAACACAUGCAAGUCGAACGCCCCGCAUGGGGAGUGGCCGACGGGUGAGUAACGCGUGGGAACAUACCCUUUCCUGCGGAAUAGCUCCGGGAAACUGGAAUUAAUACCGCAUACGCCCUACGGGGGAAAGAUUUAUCGGGGAAGGAUUGGCCCGCGUUGGAUUAGCUAGUUGGUGGGGUAAAGGCCUACCAAGGCGACGAUCUAUAGCUGGUCUGAGAGGAUGAUCAGCCACAUUGGGACUGAGACACGGCCCAAACUCCUACGGGAGGCAGCAGUGGGGAAUAUUGGACAAUGGGCGCAAGCCUGAUCCAGCCAUGCCGCGUGAGUGAUGAAGGCCUUAGGGUUGUAAAGCUCUUUCACCGAUGAAGAUAAUGACGGUAGUCGGAGAAGAAGCCCCGGCUAACUUCGU
rnacentral:rRNA from 1 species